rnacentral:rRNA from 1 species
UACGGGGGGGGCAAGCGUUGUUCGGAAUUACUGGGCGUAAAGGGCGCGUAGGCGGUUGGAUAAGUCAGCUGUGAAAACCACGGGCUUAACUCGUGGCCUGCAGUUGAGACUGUCUGGCUUGAGUGUGGGAGAGGAGAGUGGAAUUCCAGGUGUAGCGGUGAAAUGCGUAGAUAUCUGGAGGAACACCGGUGGCGAAGGCGGCAUCCUGGACCGGUAUUGACGCUGAUGCGCGAAAGCCAGGGGAGCAAACGGG